rnacentral:lncRNA from 1 species
AUUCGUUCCCCCGCCUUCUCCAAUUCCCGGAACGCCGUUCCUGCUCCCGCCAUGGCGACCGGCAACCGGCUGCCGAAACAGGUGCUGAGCCUCUACCGGCAACUGCUGCGGGCCAGCAAGGACAAGCYGGGCUUCGCGGGGCGCAUCCGGGAGGAAUUCCGCCAGAACGCCGGCAUCCCGCCCCGCGACGCCCUGCGCAUCGAGUUCCUGCUGCGCCGCGGCCGGAGGCAGCUGGAGCAGCUCCGCGCCGCCACCACCAAGCGCCUGGGCGCCUUCGGCUCCGCGCCGGAAUAACAGCCGGAAAAUCCCCAUCCGACGCGUCCGCUCCGGCUCCGAGGCGAUCGUCUUCUCCCAGCUUUUUUUGGGGGGAAAACAACACUAAAGGGGACGUGCAGGAGAUGGUUUUUCCACGUGGCUCCUCUUAAAAAUUCCGGUGGGUGCCGGAGGUGGGAUUUGCUCGUUUUUACUGGCGGAUAUAAAUUCAGUUUGGGGCAUUUUGGGUUUUUUUUUUUCCUCUCCCAUUUCCCUCCCACACCCUGUGGUGAAAACCGGCUCCGGAGACUGACACAAAACUAGGAGAGAACAGGAAGGCGGCAGCUCCGGGAUGCUAUUUUCCGUGCGGGAAUGUGGGCAAAAAGGAGAGAAUCGGUAUCCUUUGAACAGCCUCGCAGCUUUUCUUUAUGGUUUUUUUUUGCCAAAACGCUUGGAAAAUCGGUUCUUCCCCUGGCUAACGUGCUCUUCCGAUGCCCGACGCCGAUGCCAACGCCGUCUCGCCCAGGUUUGGGCUAUCCCGGAUGCAUCGCAGCUGCACGUUCCGACUCUUGCUCCAACCGGGGGAAAAAUUCCGUGUUUGCAGCCCAGAAAAAAAGAAAACAAAAAAUGGAAAAAAAAAAAAACCCAAACCAGAGUCCCAUAUUCCGGUCUCGCCAGCGGCUCCGGACACCGGCAGGACUUUUCCAGCCAGAGAUGAGCCACCGCCGCCGCCCGGGAGCUUCCGACCCUUCCGCGAUGGAUAUUCCCCCUUCGCUGCCAGCCGGGAAGGAGCUUCCGGGAGCGAGAAGCCGCCGCGGGGGUUUUUUGGGGUGAAAAUGCCCCAGUUUGGGGGCGGGAACGACGCCCCUUAAAGCUUCGCCGGCUCCGCGAAAUAAAUGUGUCGGAAAAACCCCUGUUUGGCCCCGU